AGGCGGCGACUCGGGGGAUUUUGGACAUCCAGUCAGUGGAGGCAAAAAAGAAGAAGAAGGAACAGUUAGAAAAGCAGAUGGCGACAUCGGGGCCACCAACGGCAGGGGGACUUAGAUGGACGGUGUCAUGAAGUAUAUCAGACCUGGAAGAGAAUCCUGCCACCAACUCCGGCAACUGCAGUCAAUGGCUUUCAGCUGAUGUCUCCUCUUAACACACAUUAAGAGUCAGACUGUGUCAUUAGUGCCCUUUCGUGCAAUCCUGACACUAAAUAUACUAAAUGUACAAAAAUAUUGGUAAUAUUUUUAUUUUCAAACUUACUAAAUAACCUAGCUUUUCAUUCUAUUCCACUUUCCCUACAUCUAUUUUCUCUUCUGCAGGAAGUAACUUUGCAGUUUUUGUAGUUAAAAUAUGGAUCCAAAAGGUAUAUAUGCAUGGCGUGUCCUGGUCGUACAUAUAUCUCCAGUGUUGAGUUUGCUGCUAUACCUCUGCAUUAUAAGUAAUCUUGCUCCCUAGAGUCAUGUGGCAUAGCCUGUGGUCUAUCUCUGUCUCACUAAAUAGGAAGACUUCAGCUUCCAGACUUAGUGCCUUUAAGCUGAUCAUCAGGGAAAAUCCUGAAGACGCAUUUGAAGGACUUCAGGUGAAGGAAGUCUUUAUUUUUAUAACCCACUAAGAAAUGAAUAUUUGUAGGCAAAUGUUAACUCUCUGCUAAUUUAUUUUGUGUACCUAAGGCAUAUCAUAUUAACGUGAAGUUACAUGUCCGUAGGACGUCAGCUCAGUGACCUGCUGAUGAGUCCUGCUAGAAGCAUGAAGGUAUGUGUAGUGAAGGGAUGAGGCCAACUGAGAACCAGGUUGGAGAAAAUGAGUGAUAAUAGAUGUGUUCAAAUUCCACAAGCAUUUUUAUUCUUCUGUAUUUAUCAAAGAACAGUUGUAAGAUCUAUACAAACAUGGUGUUGCCAAUGAAAGUGUGAAAGAAACAUGUGAGUUCUGUACUUGGAAAGUCCAAGCCUGUCAAAGCACGCUUGUGAUUUAUGACAUUGUCGCUUGUUUUCUUCUUACUACGUAAUAAGCGAAGAUGCAAGUGUGCAAGGCUGCUGCUGCUAUCGAUGCCAAGACAUUCAGUGCUAACAUCCAGUCCUUACCUUAGAAUUUAUAGAUUCUAGCCAGUCAGAAAUCUCAGUGAAUUAGGCAAAGUCACAGCCAUAAGAAGAAACUGAGCCAUUGGCUUGUCUGUUCCUCUCCCAAGGUAUCUGACGGUGUGUCACACAUGCUCUUUUUAAAGAAUUGGAGCUAUAAUAUAGGUCUCAUAAUGACUGAAGUAUUACUUUUCUGUCGCUCAAAAUGUUUCAUGAAUAGCUAGGUAAGACAUAGAAUUGUAUCAUCUCAGUUUCCUUCAUUUAGAGAUGGUGAUAUUUUUCUUCCUAAAUGAUAGUGAUAUCAAUAAGCUGACUUUUAGAAAUAAUUCUUAGCUCAUUUUGGUAAGUAAUAUUUCUGACAUAGGAAAGCUGACUCAGCUGAAUGGGGAGAGAGGCAGCACACACCAGCCCUCACCAUGGGAAGCCCUCCUCCUGUUAGAACAGACAUCUCGUUCUCUUCCCUUCAUCGUAGACCAUGGCUCGUGCAAAGAGAAGGCUUGGUUCAGUGGGCAGUGCUACAUUUAUUACGUAAGGGCAUGUCUAGAGGCACAAGUGCCAUACAGGUUUAUUCCUUGCUUGGAAUAAUUAGGAUACACUGCUUUUGGCAUCUGUGGGCUCCCUCUGCUGUUCCAAGGCCCUGUGCAUGGCUAUGGCCUGCCCCACCGAUAUAAGCCUUCUCCCAAGGCCACACAUGUCGUAGGCACUAAAUGGUGAUUUGAAUCUCAUGAAUGUGAUUGAAAAGAGGAAGCAGGAUGCUUGAUAAGAACCUGGGAAAUGGCUAUUUGAAAUCAUAUAUGCGUCUAAACAUCUUUCUUAGGUUGUGGAUAGUGGUGUAGAGGUGAGUUUUCUCUAACUUAAGACUUAAAUAACAAAACAUAAUAUUGAAUAUAUCUUCCAAAUCUUAUGGCAAAAUUGGUAGAACAUAAGAAAAUCCAUCAGAUGCAGAAAGUUAACCAACAUAUGCAAGCUUCAGUCUUAAUUGUAAUUCUGAAACUGAUACAGCUGGUGAUAAAGAGUUAAAUAUAUCAUUACAGAAGGGCUCUGUGACUGGUUGCAUGUUUUGGAAACAUCUGUAAAUGGUUUUUUUUAUCUAGUUUGUGUUAUGAUUAUAUCUGGAAUGUGAUUUAUUA
rnacentral:lncRNA from 1 species